AGACCGUAGCUCUCUCUUGCAACCAUCAGGCAGUGGCACCCAAAUUGAGGAGGUUUCUGUGAAGGUUCUGCUGCAGAUGGUAAGAGAUGAUGAUAUCUAUGCCGACAAAAAAUCUCUGUCAUAGCAGCUCCUUGUUUAAGUCCAUUUCAAUGAAGGUGGGGGCAAUCGUGUCGAUUUGUGGUGGUAGGAGAAGUACAAGCUUCAGCUCCACACAACAAUGGUGACGCAGAAUUGAAUCGCUACUUCAAGAGCUAUAUAGUGGAGAUUGCCGGUGAUCAUUAUUAAUCCAGAAAGCUAACACUUAGUUCUCCUCUUUAACCCCUUAGAAGCAUGAGCGAAAUAUAAAGUUGUGGCUCUAUUUAUGGGCCGGGCCGCAAGAUAGAUAAGCCAGGGAGGCUUUCCGAUCUGUACCCCACUCGUCGUGAAAGACGAGCGAAAACCAUGGCGGCGAUCGCGCACUCCAUCGGUGGCCCCGAGAGCGCACAUGCGCGAUCAGCGCUGACAGAGGACGGUGGCGCCGGUCGGGAGCCACGUCUUCCGUGGUGUUCAGGAUCUUAAGCAAGCCGUCACCGCCGCCGCUGCCGAGGACAUCAACAGAAGUUUGUCGACGCCGCAGACUCUUACUUUCCAGACCAUGGUUGAUUGAAGGUGUGAUUUCUGCCUCGACUAUCGUUUGACAUCUCUAAUUUAAUCUCUGCAAAACAAGGAUUCAAAUGGGUUAUAAGAAUUGGGGUACCAUUGUGUUGAAUUUGAAUUUUAGGUUUAUCGAGUUGAUUGUCCCGAGGAUGGGACGUCAGGAUUCUGAGCUAUCUUAGAUGAUAAGCGCAUUUGAUUGCUAGAGACUGAUAGGUAUACUAUUAAUUUAGGCCUAACUCUUUUGUCGUCGCAUGGAAUGAAUGUGUCAUGAAGGUUUUCUGGUUCAAAAGCAAGUGUUUUUUUGUCUCAUUCUAUUUGUAUUUCGUGUUCCUCAUCAUGAUAUUGCUGUUGAGAACAUAGAGUUGCAUGUCUGUAUGUUGAUGGAAUGGAGAACAAUCUGUAUGAAGUUUUUAUGGUUCAAAAGUAAGUUUUUUUAUCUCAUUCUAUUUGUAUUUGGUGUUCCUCAUUAUGAUAUUACUGUUGAGAACAUAGAGUUGCAUGUCUGUAUGUUGAUGGAAUGGAGAACAAUCUGUAUGAAGCUUUUCUGGUUCAAAAGUAAGCUUUUUUAUCUCAUUCUAUUUGUAUUUGGUGUUCCUCAUUAUGAUAUUACUGUUGAGAACAUAGAGUUGCAUGUCUGUAUGUUGAUGGAAUGGAGAACAAUCUGUAUGAAGCUUUUCUGGUUCAAAAGUAAGCUUUUUUAUCUCAUUCUAUUUGUAUUUGGUGUUCCUCAUUAUGAUAUUACUGUUGAGAACAUAGAGUUGCAUGUCUGUAUGUUGAUGGAAUGGAGAACAAUCUGUAUGAAGCUUUUCGGGUUCAAAAGUAAGCUUUUUUUUCUCAUUCUAUUUGUAUUUGGUGUUCCUCAUUAUGAUAUUACUGUUGAGAACAUAGAGUUGCAUGUCUGUUUGUUGAUUGAAUGGAGAACAAUCUGUACCUAUCUCUCUUUCUACUUCCAUUUGUCUUUACAUUUACAGAGAAUAUCAAUCCGAUCUUACUUUGACUAGUUUGACUUAUAGUUGAAUGCUUAAAAGAAAAUAUAAUUCUUCCAAUAGAUGCCUCUUAAAAGUAGCUUACAUUGGUUUGGUAUUGUUUGUAUUACAGCAAGAGCCAAUUUGUAGCUCCUCAUGAAAUCUGAGAUAAGUGCCACUGAUAUAUAAAGUGGAUGAUUGUUUACAUCAAACUUAAUGGCACAAGAAAUGUUCUACAACUAUCGAAUAAAACUUUGUGAUGUGAAAGCUGUACAAAAUUUCUUUUUGAAUUUGAAGUCUCCCUCCACCAUCUUUUUCAUGCUUUAGGUUAUAGCUGAGCAUUAUUCUUGUAGUGAUGACACCAUUUUGUCAUGCUCAUGAUAAUAUUCAUCUUAUUAAGUUGAGGUUUGGCUGCAUGCACUAUCUACUCUGUUUGCUUGUUCUGUAUGAUAAUUUGUGUUUCCUGUUUACAUGUAUUAAACUCUAUUAUCAUCUUUCACAAUUGUCACUGGAGAUAACUUUCAUAAUUGAAGUAAUAUAUGACCCAAAACUGUUGGUGCUGAGAUGAGUAGAUAAACAUGGCAAGUUUAUGGUGGCAACCAUGAGGACCAUUACCUUACCUAGCAGAAGUUAGAAGAAUCUACUGGAUCCUUCAACUUUGCACAAUGAUUAAAUAUGAUUACCUCACUCCCACCUGAAUGUGACCACAUUUGUGUCUGCAGGCACUUUUGGAGUCAUUUCUCUGGUAUUCAUAUGCUUCUCUCUCAAUGUUAUCAGUCAGAAGUUUUUCAGGGAAAAGUUUACCUAAUGGAUCUAUCUUUUUGCCUGACAGAGAUCUGAACAUUUAUCAUUUUAUGUACAAAUUACAGCAACUGCAAAGAAACCUAGCUUGUUCAUUGCAGCUUUUCUUUUCACUCCCACCAAACAUAUUGAUAUGCCUGUCCUCAUGCAUUACUGGUCCCAACAUGCCAAAGUUUCAAUGCCUCCCCCUUUCAUCAACUCAGAAAGGAAGCCACCAUGCAUGCAUCCUCAAACUAGCAAAACUGCACUCACUGACAACAUAACAAGCUUUCCUCGUGAAGUGAUUGUAAGGCUACCAGAAUGAGAGAUUCAACAUCAAAACCUUGGAGAACAUCUGAGGGAACCCAGGUAGGUGAAGGCCACUGGAUGGGGGAACAUGAUAGAGAGAGAUUGAUUUGCCUGAUAAAGCCUAUCACACAUGUGGAGUGAGAGCAUGGAUCAACACUUGCAGAUAUUUAGGGGAAUGCCAAUUUGGAUUGUGCUAUUUCUACUCAGGAAAAGAACUCGUUCAAAUUGUUCAAACUCUGAUGUUAAGUCUUUUGUAAGUAAUUCAUUGCCAUUAACUCUUCAUCCUUUUUAUUUUCUUGUGUGGCAGCAGCAGCAGCCUGCGUCAUUGUUCUGGCGUUCGAUCAGAAGAAGAGAAGCUCUGUUCUUGUGCUUCUGCAGUCACAAAAGCUGCACCGGAGCUGGUUAUCUUCUUGGCCAGGGGAGUUCAUGAGACGAGUACGCCGACACCCUCGACGGUGGAGGAGAAAGACGGUGGGUGGCGUCCCCGAGGAAGCAGUACGUCUCUUCCUCCUCCUCUGCUUACAUGCUGCAUGAGCCGCGCCGUGCGGCUUUCAAUCACAUACGUCACCCGCAAGGCAGGCUUGGAGGCGUCGGAACAAGAGGCUCGAAUCGCGGAGGUCCUCCUCCUCCUCUUGAUCGAGCUGAUGCCGUCGUCUGCCGAGGCUUUCUUCUUCUCCUUGGCUCUCCCCUUCCCCUUCUUCCUCCUCUUCGCCGCCUCCAUGGUCGACGUCCUCGUCCUCGUCGUCAUUGUUCUCCACGCUGACACCGGGCUCCUGCUUGUUCUCCUUCCCUUUGCUGUUGAAAUCAAAGCUUAGAGGUCCCAUAUCGGAGAACCGGAAGCUUUGGUGGUCGGCCGGCACGACGAUAGCAUCGAGUAGCUCAGAGUUCACUUUCGGCUGAUCCUUAAUGUCUCCCGGUGGAUUAGAAGCGGCUGCAUUUGCACCAGGGGGGGAGGCGGAAGGAUGAGGCUUGUUGGUGUUGAGGGACUUGGAGUAAAGCUGGUCCAGCUGUUGGAACGUUUGGCGCUGCGGUGGUAGCCCAUCGUGGUCAUGGUCGCGCUCACCUCCUCCCACAGCGGCCCCUUCAGUCCCGGCUCCUGGAACCUCGAUUCCAGCCCGCUCCGGACGCGGAUCAACGCCUGGACCUCCGCCUUCGGC